rnacentral:rRNA from 1 species
AGCAAGCGGACGAAUGCAUACACGUCGUCCGAGGACAAACUCCUUUGUGAGUGUUGGAGGGACAUUGGGCAAGACCCCAAGGUCGGCGUCGAACAAAAGGCAUCAACCUUUUGGCUUCGUGUUCAUCGUGGGUACCAUGAACGCAAGAAGUUUGUGUCGUAUCAAAUGCAAAGCAAGCGUGGGUGGGUGUCCCUCUUGAAGCGAUGGAGGGUGAUACAACAAUAG